rnacentral:rRNA from 1 species
GAUGAACGCUGGCGGCGUGCUUAACACAUGCAAGUCGAACGGAAAGGCUCCUGCUUGCAGGGGUACUCGAGUGGCGAACGGGUGAGUAACACGUGGGUGAUCUGCCCUGCACUUCGGGAUAAGUCUGGGAAACUGGGUCUAAUACCGGAUAGGACGAUGGUUUGGAUGCCAUUGUGGAAAGUUUUUCGGUGUGGGAUGAGCUCGCGGCCUAUCAGCUUGUUGGUGGGGUAAUGGCCUACCAAGGCGUCGACGGGUAGCCGGCCUGAGAGGGUGUACGGCCACAUUGGGACUGAGAUACGGCCCAGACUCCUACGGGAGGCAGCAGUGGGGAAUAUUGCACAAUGGGCGCAAGCCUGAUGCAGCGACGCCGCGUGGGGGAUGACGGCCUUCGGGUUGUAAACUCCUUUCGCUAGGGACGAAGCGCAAGUGACGGUACCUGGAGAAGAAGCACCGGCUAACUACGUG